CCUUCACUUGAAGUGAUAAGGUCAUUUUAAGCUCAAAAGUGGGGGGUAAGUGUUAUAAAAAAAAAAUCAACCAUCCAACCUCGACCUCCUCUACCUCAUGUACAAGCUGAGCAUUCACCUCAGACCUAUCACUAAUGACUUAUACAAAAGCUACAUCAACACCAAAGGACUUUCUCAGACAUUGGGAAUAAAAGACUGGAUGACCAAAUCAUCCUGCCAAGAUGAUCUCCGAUAUCGACUGUAAUCCAACCCUAAACUCGAAUGCACACUAACCGUUGGGUUGGAUUCAUGCCGACGAC
rnacentral:lncRNA from 1 species